rnacentral:rRNA from 1 species
ACACGCAUGACACACUGCAUAUCAAUAAGUGGAGGAAAAGAAACUAACAAGGAUUCCCUUAGUAACGGCGAGUGAAGCGGGAAGAGCUCAAAUUUGAAAUCUUCAGAGGUUUUACCUUGACGAAUUGUAGUUUAAAGAAGUGUUUUCUGUUGGAGUUUUGGUAAAAGUUCUUUGGAAUAGGACAUCAUAGAGGGUGAGAAUCCCGUAUUUGACCAUUAUUUCCAGCUGUGUGAUACACUUUCAAAGAGUCGGAUUGUUUGGGAAUGCAGUCCAAAAUGGGUGGUAAAUUUCAUCUAAAGCUAAAUAUUGGCGAGAGACCGAUAGCGAACAGGUACCGUGAGGGAAAGAUGAAAAGAACUUUGAAAAGAGAGUUAAACAGUACGUGAAAUUGUCAAAAGGGAAGCGUUUGACACCAGUGUUGUUUUCUCGAAAAUCAAUUAAAAAUGAUGGGAUUUUGUGUUGUAUUGACUUUAUCAGCUUUCUGCACUUUUUUCUUAUCUUUUUUAAUGCACUUUUCGUUUAACAAGACAACAUCAAUUUCUUUUGUUGUAAAAGAGUCAUUGGAAGGUGGCUUUUUCUUCGGAAAAAGUGUUUAUAGCCUUUGGCUUCUGCAAUCGGAGAGAUUGAGGUCUGCAGCGUAGAUCCUUCGGGGUUAGAUACAUUUGUGCUAAGCUAUAGUUCUUUAUAGACAACUUGUUGACUAUAAUCAAUCCUGUAACUUACUCGCUUAUGCUAUUUUACCUACGCUUAGGAUGUUGAUCUACAGAGCGAGAGU